GACAGAGGGUGCAAACGUUGUUCGGAAUUACUGGGCGUAAAGGGCGCGUAGGCGGCCACCGCAAGUCGACUGUGAAAUCUCCGGGCUUAACUCGGAACGGCCAAGUGAAACUGUCAUGCUAGAGUGCAGAAGGGGCAAUCGGAAUUCUUGGUGUAGCGGUGAAAUGCGUAGAUAUCAAGAGGAACACCUGAGGUGAAGACGGGUUGCUGGGCUGACACUGACGCUGAGGCGCGAAAGCCAGGGGAGCAAACGGG
rnacentral:rRNA from 1 species